rnacentral:rRNA from 1 species
UUUAAGCAUAUCACUCAGUGGAGGAAAGACAAGCAACCGCGAUUGCCCCAGUAAUGGCGAAUGAAUUGGCAACACAAAUCUGUGGCUCAUCCUGAAGUGGAUUCCCUUUCAGCACUGUCCCCCUGGGGCAGCUUGCGUUCGGCUAACGUGGAUUCCAGCAGAUGCUGUGGGUUGUGGAGUGGUCAGCAUGCCAUGGGUGAGGACUGUGCCAGGAAGGGCCCUGGAAUGGCCCACACCAGAGGGAGAGUGUCCCAUACCACCUGUGUGUGGUCCUUGUCUGUGGCAUUGCUGGUUGCAUCCAGGAGUAGAGUGGCUUGGGACUGCAGUUUGAAGUGCAAGGUGUAUCCAUUGCAAGGCAGAAUACUGGCCUGGGACCGAUAGAGCACAAGUAGAGUGAUUGAAGGAUGCAAAGGACUUUGCAAAGAGGGUUAAAAGUCCCUGAAGCUGGGGCAGCAACGGCGGAGAGUGGAGUUGUUGAUCUGUCUGGUCCCCCAGAGGAAACAGCCCACCACACGUGGGAGAGGCUGCUGGGCCCUGUGACCAUGACAUGGAAUUGCAUUCCAAGCAACCUUGGGCCAGCCCAGAGCUGGCUAAUGAGCCCUGCCCCCAGGGGAAGGAUGCUAUCUUGGCAGUAUCUGGUGACACAUUGUGUGCCUGGGCCUGAGGCUGGAGAUUGUGACCUGGUGGUGAUCCCAUUCCAAGGAUGAUGGUGUGUGACCUGUGCAAGGACCCUCUGUUGAGGCAGGACAUAUCUGGCAGCCCAUCCUGGAACAACCCAAAGAACACGGUGUGAAGUGACCCUCCCUGGUGUGUCCACGGACAUGCCAGUCACUGUGCCUGGACAUGGCUUGGGGCUGGUGGAUGCAUGGUGGCUGCACCACCUAUGGUUGGUGGCUCCUGUGUGACUGCUGGCCCCCCAGACAGAGCAUGGUGUGAGAAGCAGUGGUGCUUGGGCCAUCAGUGCCACCCUCUGCCCGUCUUGAAACACGGACCAAGGAGUCUAUGGAGCUUGCGAGAAGUUGGAAGGUCCCUAUGGAAACCGCAGUGCAUGGUGAAGGCAACAGACCCAGAUGGUGAAUACACAGGGAGAGCAAUUGACUGGUUGGCCCCUGGUCCUGGAAGAUGACCACCGGUCUGUAUUAGCCUUCUGGAGCCUUCUGAGGCUGAUACAGCUGUUGCAUAGGGGAACCACUGUGCCAAAUUGGAGAUAUUACUGCAUGGGUCACCAGUCCUGAAGCCCAAUGGACAAGGUUCUGAGUGAUUGCAAGGUCCCUGGGACCCGAAAGGUGGUGAACUAUACCAUUCUAUGGUGAAGCCUUGGGAAACUGAGGUGGAGGCCAGUAGCUGUUCUGACGUGCAAAUUGUGUAGCCUGAGUGUGGCAUAGGGGUGAAAGGCCAAUCGAGCCACCUAGUAGCUGGUUUCCUUUGAAGUUUCCCUCAGGAUAGCUGGGCCUGAAUGCAACCCACCUGAGAGGUUACGUCUGGUAAAGCAACGCAUGAGAGGCAACACCUGGGGAGGCCUUCCUCCUCAACCUAUUCUCGAACUGUGAAUGGGCGUGGACACACCCACCAAUGCAAGCUUCUUCACUGUGCUAGAGUCUGUCCUUGAGCAGUCCUCUUUGGCUUUCUGAGCAUGUUGCUGAGGUGGCAGCCUGGACCACCACCACCACCACACACAAGACCAGUUCAGGGUGGGACAAAUCCAGGCUUGAAAGCAAGGGGAUGACCCAAUGUGUGUGCCUCUCUGUGAGGCUGCUCUGGUGUCUCCCCUGUGCCUGGGGCCUGACUGGCUGUGUGGUGUGUGAAACCCCCAUGGGGAGAUAUUUGUGAGUGCCAAGAGCAGAGCUGCCACCCCUUGGUGAACAGACAUGCCUAUGUGGACCAUGAUUGGUAAGCAGUGCUGGUGAUGCGGGAUGCUCCGAGAGUGGACUUACAGGUCCAGAGUGCUGGCUCAUACCCAGAUCCCACAAAGGAUGUUGCUUGCUAGAGAUAGCAGGACGGUGGCCAUGAAGGUUGGAAUCCGCCAAGGAAUGUGUAACAACUCACCUGCCGAAGCGUGCAGUUCCGAAAAUGGAUGGUGCCCAAGUCAGUGAAGCUGAAUUUGCCUUACAGUCCACUGCCACUGUGGCAGCAACAAGCAGAGCAUUGGCAUGUAAGAAGGACAUGGAGGAUUGCAGUGCCUGCUGGGGUUGCCCCUGGCUUGAGUGUCCUCUGGCGCAGAUCUUGGUUGCAGUAGCAAGUACUCCAUCGGGUGAAGAGCAGAACAACCCUGCUAUGUGUGGUUGAGGACUGGAGUGGAGCAGGUUUCCACAACAAACAGCCGUUGAAUGUGGGUCAGCCGACCGUGAGCCAAGUGGUAAAUUCACUGAACAACCAAAGCUGCUGUGCCCCCCUGGGGCUGUCCCUUGUGACUUCUGUUGGAACCUUGGACCUGGGUUGAAUGACACUGCCCUCUUUCCCUCCUCCCAGGAGGAUCUGGGCUGUGGGUCACAACCCCACUGUGUCCAUGCCCUGAUGGCUAAAUGUGUGAAGUAUGGCAGGAAUGGCAAACAGGCAAGCAGACGCAACAUUCUGCUGCAAUGGGCCUGGGGUGCUCUGAGUGGUGACUCUCCACAUUGCUGGACCAAGCAGGCCUCGGGGCAGUGGACCCCCUGAGGAGUUCUCUUUUCCUCCUGAUGCAGGUUCAUGUGGGCUAUUGAUUGGCAUGACAGAUGGUGGCAUAAGCCCUCCACCCAGCAGGGCAGCCUCUCCUUUAAACCAGCUGAUGGUCUCAACAUGGUGUCUUGUGACUCUGAGUGGAAGCAGCAACAAAACCCCUGUGAGGGCAAGGGAAGCCUCUCCCGAUGAGUGAUGAAUGUGUGCAAGAACAGCCUUUCUGGCAGUCACUGGCUCCAGUGAAAGUCCUGUGGGGACCAUGUGCCCCUAACCCCUGGGUUCUCGUACCGAAUCACCGCAGCUGGUCUCCUCGGCUAGACGCCACUAGUCCACAGAUUGAAUGCAGCUAAGGGAAGUCGGCAAACUGGCUGUGUACCUUGGGAAGAUGCAGUGGCUCCAGAGGCCAAGUCAUGCUGGGACCCAACACUACUUGUUUACCAACACGGCGGGGAUGGUGUGGUUGAGGUGUGGCAUUCACGUGCCACUCUGAGGCCUGCCAGCCCAGUAGAGCAGUGCUGAAAGGACUGGAUCAUGUGCAAUUGGUGAGUGACGAAUCAAAAGGCACUCAGCCCCAUGGCUGCUGAGUGGCCCAUUUGGAACUGAUGCUGUGCAGGGGAAUCUGACUGUUUAAUUGAAACCCAGCUUUGUGAAGGGACCAGCUGGCUGGUUCCAUGAGGUGACUUCUGCCCAGUGCUCUGAUUGUCAUUACGAAGAGAUUCAGUAAAGCGCGGGUAAACGGCGGGAGUAACUAUGACUCUCUUAAGGUAGCCAAAUGCCUCGUCAACCAAUUAUUGACGCGCAUGAAUGGAUCAACGAGAUUCCUGCUGUCCCUAGGUGCUGUCUGGUGAACCAACCGCCAAGGGAACGGGCUUGGAUGUGUCAGCGGGGAAAGAAGAGCCUGUUGAGA